GGGUAGAGUGUCCAGCAGACUGGCCAGUACCAUAACCCUGGGAAGCACCCACCUGGCCAGGCCCACCCUUUUCCAGGUUCCUUCUUGUGCAUGGGUGGCCCCCAUUCCCAAACCCCACUCCAGGUAGCUGAUGCUAGGUGUGGGUGGUAUGUUUUCUGCAAGGGGUGGAUUAAACCACUGGCAGCAUCAGGGCGGUUUCAUUAAUGGCAUUACUUUCCAAUGAUACAGAAAUUCCAGAAAGAAAUGAAAUCACAUGACUUUCAACAGGGAAGAAGCCCCCAAGGAGGACCCUGAAAGCAAAGUUGGGAAGUGUCAAAGACAAGCUUCCUUUAUCCACUCAGGUGGUCACAGCACUGGGGCAAGGAGAGCUGGGGCCUCAGGCUCCAAUGAGUGACCACUACCUUUAUAACUGGGGUCUGGGGGUCAUAUUUCUUCAAGUUGCCUGCUCAGGGGAAGCAUCCUUCAGUCAGAUCUAGAUCAGCCUCAAUCGGUACUCUAGAUCAGUACUCUAGAUCAGUACCGUCCAGGUGUGACCUUGAAGGCACCUGCCCUGCAUCCACUUAUUUCUUCAUUUUUCAAGAGUCUCUUGCUAUCACAAUGCCUCCUCUUUUACAAGAAAUGUGCUAGUUUUCUUUUCAGUGGGUUGGGGGGAGGUACAAGGGUAUUGGGGAUUGAACUCAGGGGCACUCGGCCCCUGAGCCACAUCCCCAGCCCUAUUUUGUAUUUUAUUUAGAGACAGGGUCUCACUGAAUUGCUAAGCACCUUGCUUUUGCUGAUGCUGGCUUUGAACUCAUGAUCCUCCUGCCUCAGCCUCCUGAGCCACUGGGAUUACAGGUGUGUGGCACAGCACAUGGCUAAGGAAUGCACUAGUUUUAAAAUGUAAUUGCUUCAGUGUUUUACCUUCUCCUGAAUGAUUUGGAAGGGAGUAGAAUAAAAUGGGAGCCGGCAUUUAAAUCUAAACUAAGAGCAAAGCCAGGAAGUUGGUAGGUUUGAGAUGAAGGGAAGGCCCUGGACCAUAAGGUUCGGCUACAGCACAGGUAACAGUCAGGUAAAGGCAGCCUCUGCUGAAUUGUGUCUGGAAGCCUGGACACUGUCUUGGUGAGGUCCUGCUUGAGAAUGACUGUCAAGAAGCCAACCCCAGACUGGGCCCAGAGGGACAGCUGCAGCGCACAGACAAAACUAGAGGAAAAGUGAUCGAGCAAGCUCUGGAUUCCAUCAGGACCCGGCAAGUCAUUUGGUAAGGUUUUUAUUACUGUGUUUUCAUUGAAAAGUUACAGUUGGCUCUUCUUUUUCCUUCCCUGUCGGAACAGUUCUGUUGCAAAACCACUAGGUGGAGCUGAGCAAGAGGGGCCUGAGGCCGGGAGUCUCAGUGGUUCAGAGCAGGACUUCUGACACCUGUGGGUGAGGUUGGUGAUCUGGGGCUUGGGGAGCUGCUCAGUGGUGGGGGAGGAGUCAGGCCCCCGCAGGGUGAGGAGGGCAUCCACGCUGUCGGGUGGGACUGGGCUCGUCAAGAACAAUCUAAUAAGACACCUAUAAUAGUAUUUAACUCUGUUUCUUUAUAUGUGCUGUUGUUUUGCCUGUUUUACUCUUUCUCUGUGUUCUGGACCCAGCCAUACAUUGUUAGGGCUUUUGCUUUAAGUGAUCAAUAGUGUUUCAAAACCUUUUUGAUUUCGAAAUAGUUGCAGACUCUCAGGAAGAAAUGAGUACAGAGAGUCCUGUGCAUCCUUCCCACCCCAGCCCCACGAGUACCAUCCUACCUAACUAGAACCCCACAUCAAAAGCAGGAAAUGUAUAUUGGUAUAUUAUUCUUAACUGUCAUUUUCAGAUUGUACCAAUAUUCCCAGACGAGUGAGUAUACGUAUUUCAUACAACUUUGCCACAUGUGCCGAUUUAUGUGAUUACCAACAUAAGCAAGACUCAAAAGUGUCCCAUCACUUCGAAGGAACUUCCUUGAACUACCUAUUAGAGUCAUACCGCCCUCUGACCUCCUCCUAUCCUUCCGGGCAACCAUUAGUUUGUUGACCAUCUCUGUAUUUCUUUCAAUUUGAGAAUAUUACACAAAUGGAAUAAUAUAGUAUGUCUUCUUUUUAAGAUAGACUUUUUUCACUCAGAAUUAUGCCCCUGAGUUCCAUGCCAUAGGCAUCAUUUAUCAAUAGUUUGCUCCUUUUUAUUGCCCAAAUAGCAUUCCACUGUAGAGAUGUACCACAGUUGCUUAUCCAUUUGCUUUUUAGGACAUUUCUGUGUUUUGGUAAUUACAAAUAAAGCUGCUAUGAACAUUCAUGUAAAAGUUUUUGUGUGAACAUAAGUUUUCAUUUCUCUGGGAUAAAUACCCAGGAGUGCAGGUGCUAGGUCAUAUUCAUGUGUGUUAAUUUUAUAAAUAGUUGCCAAAUUAUUUUCCAGAGCGGUUGUUCCAUUUUACACUCCCACCAGCAAUGUAAGAAAUACUCAGUUUUCCCACAUUCUUACCAGCAUUUACAGUUAUUAUAUUUUGUUAGUUGUUCUAUGAACUUUAUAAUAAUAGCUCAUUGUUGUUAAUUUUCACUUAUCUAAUGACUAAGUUGCAUU
rnacentral:lncRNA from 1 species